rnacentral:rRNA from 1 species
CUACGGGCCGCAGCAGUGGGGAAUAUUGCGCAAUGGGGGAAACCCUGACGCAGCAACGCCGUGUGAGGGAUGAAGGCCUUCGGGUCGUAAACCUCUGUCAGGCAGGACGAAACAUCUAAGCGUGAAUAAUGUUUAGAUCUGACGGUACUGCCAGAGGAAGUCCCGGCUAACUCCGUGCCAGCAGCCGCGGUAAUACGGAGGGGACAUACGUUGUUCGGAAUUAUUGGGCGUAAAGAGCGCGUAGGUGGUCAGAAAAGUCAGACGUGAAAGCCCUCUGCUUAACAGAGGAAGGGCGUUUGAAACUCUCUGACUUGAGUGUGGGAGAGGAGAGUGGAAUUCCCAGUGUAGCGGUGAAACGCGUAGAUAUUGGGAAGAACACCAGUGGCGUAGGCGGCUCUCUGGCCCAUUACUGACACUGAGGCGCGAAAGCUAGGGGAGCAAACGGGAUUAGAUACCCUUGUAGUC